UACGAAGGGGGCUAGCGUUGUUCGGAAUCACUGGGCGUAAAGGGCGCGUAGGCGGCUUGAUCAGUCGGGGGUGAAAGCCUGUGGCUCAACCACAGAAUGGCCUUCGAUACUGUCUGGCUCGAGAUCGGAAGAGGUUAGUGGAACUGCGAGUGUAGAGGUGAAAUUCGUAGAUAUUCGCAAGAACACCAGUGGCGAAGGCGGCUGACUGGUCCGGAUCUGACGCUGAGGCGCGAAAGCGUGGGGAGCAAACAGG
rnacentral:rRNA from 1 species